rnacentral:rRNA from 1 species
GGAGGAAAAGAAACUAACAAGGAUUCCCCUAGUAACUGCGAGUGAAGCGGGAUGAGCUCAAAUUUGAAAUCUGGCGGUUCCGCCGUCCGAGUUGUAAUCUGGAGAAGCGUUUUCCGUGCCGGACCGUGUACAAGUCCCUUGGAACAGGGCGUCAUAGAGGGUGAGAAUCCCGUCUUUGACACGGACUCCCGGUGCUCUGCGAUGCGCUCUCGAAGAGUCGAGUUGUUUGGGAAUGCAGCUCAAAAUGGGUGGUAAAUUCCAUCUAAAGCUAAAUAUUGGCGAGAGACCGAUAGCGAACAAGUACCGUGAGGGAAAGAUGAAAAGCACUUUGGAAAGAGAGUAAAACAGUACGUGAAAUUGUUGAAAGGGAAACGCUUGAAGUCAGUCGCGUCUUCUGGGACUCAGCCUUGCUCUGCUUGGUGCAUUUCCCAGUUUGACGGGUCAGCAUCGGCUCUGGGGGGCGGACAAAGGCGCGGGGAAGGUGGCAGCUCCGGCUGCGUUAUAGCCCCGCGUUACGCGUCCCCCGGGACCGAGGAAUCCGGCGCUCGCGCCUGGGAUGCUGGCGUAAUGGCUUUAAACGACCCGUCUUGA